GACGAACGCUGGCGGCGUGCCUAACACAUGCAAGUCGAGCGGGGUUCCCUUCGGGGAACUUUAGCGGCGGACGGGUGAGUAACACGUGGGUAACCUGCCUCAUAGAGGGGGAUAGCCUCCCGAAAGGGAGAUUAAUACCGCAUAACAUCAGGCUAACGCAUGUUAGUUUGAUCAAAGGAGUAAUCCGCUAUGAGAUGGACCCGCGGCGCAUUAGCUAGUUGGUGAGGUAACGGCUCACCAAGGCGACGAUGCGUAGCCGACCUGAGAGGGUGAUCGGCCACAUUGGAACUGAGACACGGUCCAGACUCCUACGGGAGGCAGCAGUGGGGAAUAUUGCACAAUGGGCGAAAGCCUGAUGCAGCAACGCCGCGUGAGUGAAGAAGGCCUUCGGGUUGUAAAGCUCUGUCUUUUGGGACGAUAAUGACGGUACCAAAGGAGGAAGCCACGGCUAACUACGUGCCAGCCGCCGCAGUAA
rnacentral:rRNA from 1 species